CUUCUCUGAUGUUAGCGGCGGACGGGUGAGUAACACGUGGAUAACCUACCUAUAAGACUGGGAUAACUUCGGGAAACCGGAGCUAAUACCGGAUAAUAUUUUGAACCGCAUGGUUCAAAAGUGAAAGACGGUCUUGCUGUCACUUAUAGAUGGAUCCGCGCUGCAUUAGCUAGUUGGUAAGGUAACGGCUUACCAAGGCAACGAUGCAUAGCCGACCUGAGAGGGUGAUCGGCCACACUGGAACUGAGACACGGUCCAGACUCCUACGGGAGGCAGCAGUAGGGAAUCUUCCGCAAUGGGCGAAAGCCUGACGGAGCAACGCCGCGUGAGUGAUGAAGGUCUUCGGAUCGUAAAACUCUGUUAUUAGGGAGGAACAUAUGUGUAAGUAACUGUGCACAUCUUGACGGUACCUAAUCAGAAAGCCACGGCUAACUACGUGCCAGCAGCCGCGGUAAUACGUAGGUGGCAAGCGUUAUCCGGAAUUAUUGGGCGUAAAGCGCGCGUAGGCGGUUUUUUAAGUCUGAUGUGAAAGCCCACGGCUCAACCGUGGAGGGUCAUUGGAAACUGGAAAACUUGAGUGCAGAAGAGGAAAGUGGAAUUCCAUGUGUAGCGGUGAAAUGCGCAGAGAUAUGGAGGAACACCAGUGGCGAAGGCGACUUUCUGGUCUGUAACUGACGCUGAUGUGCGAAAGCGUGGGGAUCAAACAGGAUUAGAUACCCUGGUAGUCCACGCCGUAAACGAUGAGUGCUAAGUGUUAGGGGGUUUCCGCCCCUUAGUGCUGCAGCUAACGCAUUAAGCACUCCGCCUGGGGAGUACGACCGCAAGGUUG
rnacentral:rRNA from 1 species